rnacentral:rRNA from 1 species
UACGUAGGGUGCAAGCGUUGUCCGGAAUUAUUGGGCGUAAAGAGCUCGUAGGCGGUCUGUCGCGUCUGCUGUGAAAACUCAGGGCUUAACCCUGAGCUUGCAGUGGGUACGGGCAGACUAGAGUGCGGUAGGGGGAGACUGGAAUUCCUGGUGUAGCGGUGAAAAUGCGUAGAGAUCGGGGAGGAACAUCCGUGGCGAAGGGCGACUACCUGGACCAGCACUGACACUGAGGCACGAAAAGCGUGGGGGAGCAAAACAGGG